rnacentral:rRNA from 1 species
AUGGCUCUUUUCAAGGAGUUUUACUCGGGGUCCAUGAACCUUGGGCGUCUCAACUAUGGGAUCAUCACCCUCACCCCCAAGGUCCCGGGUGCCUCCGAUAUUCGCCAGUUUCGGACCAUCAUAGUGAUCAAUGUGAUAUUCCGGAUCUUGGCUAAAGGGUACGCCAAUAGGAUGACCCUUCUUGCUGACUCGGUUACCCACCCCAACCAAUCCGCCUUCAUCCAAGGCCGGUUUAUUCUGGAUGGGGUGUUGGUCUUUCACAAAGCCCUGCAUGAGGUCCGGAAUAAUCACCAUCGUGCAGUCUUUUUGAAGCUCGACUUCCACAAAGCGUAUCACAUAGUCCACUGGCCUUUCCUUUGGGAAGUUCUACUCAACAAGGAAUUCGACGACCGGUGGGUGACCAGAGUUAUGCAGCUCGUCUCCUGCGGUCAGACCGCUGUGAACAUUGACAGAGAGAUCGGCCCCUACUUCCCCACCCUAUGUGUGGUCCGUCAGGGCGACCCGUUCUCGCCGUUCUUGUUCAACAUGGUGGUUGAUGCCCUUACAGUCAUCCUAGAUAAGGCCAAAGCUACUGGCCCUAUUCACGGCAUUGUCCCGCAUCUGGUAGGAGGGGGAGGGGUCUCCCUCUUGCAAUAUGCGGAUGAUACCAUAGUCAUGGUGGAGGGCACUGUGCAAGACAUUGCCAACCUAAAGUUCCUCCUCCUAUGCUUCCAACAGAUGUCGGGGCUCACAAUCAACUUCGAUAAGAGCGAAGUGAUGAUUCUUGGGUACACUCUGGCAGAGGCUCAGGACAUCGCCCUUCUCCCCAUGGAUGUCGAGGGUGCCCCUGACUCCAUUUCUUGGCGACUGGAGCCCUCUAGCUGCUUCUCCACUAAGUCCCUCUACUCGGCCAUCGCCCCCUCGUCGGCCCCAAGCCCUUUAGCUUGCUUUGGGACAUCUGAUGCCUCUGAAAAUCAGGAUCUUCCCGGGGACGCCUUCCAUCUAGGGUUGAAGUCCUCAAGCGUAAUGGACUUGGAGAUGUGA